GCAGGGAUGCCGGAGUGGUCAAACGGGUCAGGCUUAGGACCUGAUGGCUUAGUGCCUACGCAGGUUCGAGUCCUGUUCCCUGCA
rnacentral:tRNA from 1 species